rnacentral:rRNA from 1 species
GGCUCAGAGCGAACGCUGGCGGCAGGCCUAACACAUGCAAGUCGAGCGGGCACCUUCGGGUGUCAGCGGCAGACGGGAGAGUAACACGUGGGAACGUGCCCUUUGGUUCGGAACAACCCAGGGAAACUUGGGCUAAUACCGGAUAAGCCCUUACGGGGAAAGAUUUAUCGCCGAAGGAUCGGCCCGCGUCUGAUUAGCUAGUUGGUGAGGUAAUGGCUCACCAAGGCGACGAUCAGUAGCUGGUCUGAGAGGAUGAUCAGCCUCACUGGGACUGAGACACGGCUCAGACUCCUACGGGAGGCAGCAGUGGGGAAUAUUGGACAAUGGGCGCAAGCCUGAUCCAGCCAUGCCGCGUGGGUGAUGAAGGCCCUAGGGUUGUAAAGCCCUUUCGGCGGGGAAGAUAAUGACGGUACCCGCAGAAGAAGCCCCGGCUAACUUCGUGCCAGCAGCCACGGUAAUACGAAGGGGGCUAGCGUUGCUCGGAAUCACUGGGCGUAAAGCGCACGUAGGCGGAUUGUUAAGUCAGGGGUGAAAUCCUGGAGCUCAACUCCAGAACUGCCCUUGAUACUGACGGUCUCGAGUCCGGGAGAGGUGAGUGGAACUGCGAGUGUAGAGGUGAAAUUCGUAGAUAUUCGCAAGAACACCAGUGGCGAAGGCGGCUCACUGGCCCGGUACUGACGCUGAGGUGCGAAGGCGUGGGGAGCAAACAGGAUUAGAUACCCUGGUAGUCCACGCUGUAAACGAUGGAUGCUAGCCGUUGGUGGGUUUACCCUUCAGUGGCGCAGCUAACGCAUUAAGCAUCCCGCCUGGGGAGUACGGUCG